UCUUCCCUCUGGCUUCGUGCCUAAUACAUGCAAGUCGAGCGAACAGACGAGGAGCUUGCUCCUCUGACGUUAGCGGCGGACGGGUGAGUAACACGUGGAUAACCUACCUAUAAGACUGGGAUAACUUCGGGAAACCGGAGCUAAUACCGGAUAAUAUAUUGAACCGCAUGGUUCAAUAGUGAAAGACGGUUUUGCUGUCACUUAUAGAUGGAUCCGCGCCGCAUUAGCUAGUUGGUAAGGUAACGGCUUACCAAGGCAACGAUGCGUAGCCGACCUGAGAGGGUGAUCGGCCACACUGGAACUGAGACACGGUCCAGACUCCUACGGGAGGCAGCAGUAGGGAAUCUUCCGCAAUGGGCGAAAGCCUGACGGAGCAACGCCGCGUGAGUGAUGAAGGUCUUCGGAUCGUAAAACUCUGUUAUUAGGGAAGAACAAAUGUGUAAGUAACUAUGCACGUCUUGACGGUACCUAAUCAGAAAGCCACGGCUAACUACGUG
rnacentral:rRNA from 1 species